GGUGCUGCAUGGCUGUCGUCAGCGUCGUGUCGUGAGAUGUUGGGUUAAGUCCGUAACGAGCGCAACCCUUGUCCUUAGUUACCAGCACGUUAUGGUGGGCACUCUAAGGAGACUGCCGGUGACAAACCGGAGGAAGGUGGGGAUGACGUCAAGUCAUCAUGGCCCUUACGGCCUGGGCUACACACGUGCUACAAUGGUCGGUACAAAGGGUUGCCGAGCCGCGAGGUGGAGCUAAUCCCAUAAAACCGAUCGUAGUCCGGAUCGCAGUCUGCAACUCGACUGCGUGAAGUCGGAAUCGCUAGUAAUCGUGAAUCAGAAUGUCACGGUGAAUACGUUCCCGGGCCUU
rnacentral:rRNA from 1 species